GUUAUAAUUAGAUUCAUUGUUUCUCGUCCCCGCCCGCAUAUUAAUCUGUUGCGCGCCAAUUUUCUGUUAUUGUAACUUUACUAACUUAUUGAUUCUUAUUGAAUACCGAAUUUUGUCAGCUAGAGUGUCAGCAACUUUUCCUCAUCUUUUUCAAGGCAUAUUGCGGAUCUGUCAGCUGUGCUUCUGAGUGUGAUUCAGUUGUGAUUCUGAGGUGCUAAGUAAACGGACGCAGGGCGUGAGAGUACUCUUCUUCCCUAGCUUCAUCGGUCCUCUCAAGUUGUUACCGUUGCUGCUACCAUAGCUGCUGGAUAGAGUGCUCUUCAAGCUCGCUCUACGUUCUAAAGGCUAACUCGAGCUAACUUGAGCACCGAGUUGAGGACGCUGGGAAGGCCGCCAUUUUGAGACAGCACUGAUUAAUUUAAUUUUGUCACUUUGGCUACAUUACAGUCACCACAAUUAAUUUUACCAUAUUAUCACAGUUCAAUACUAGCUACACUUCAAGUAGUCUACCAAUACUAUACACCUCCAGAUGCUACCUGUUUCUGCUGCAAAGUGGCAUAAUAAAUUGUGGUUUCUUCUAAUUUUGAUAAUAAGAUUAUAUGCUGAAAUGUAUUUGAACAUCACUGUUGUUACGGAUGAGACUACUAUUGUCCCCUGGACCAUUAUUCAGCAAGAAGAUGAGAAUGGGACGUUUUCUUCCUUGUUUUUAAGAAUACAAUCUGGUGUAUUUACUACUACUCGUACUACUGAAGAUUUAACAAAUGUGUCACUCAAAAAUGUUUAUGUCGGCCAGUCGAAAGAUAAUUUUAGUGCUGUAGAACAAACUCAUUCUGUCGUUGGUGUUUGCAAGUUGUUUGGUUGUCACAUAAAGUUUGUUGUAUCGAAAGAUAGUACUCAG
rnacentral:lncRNA from 1 species